rnacentral:rRNA from 1 species
GCAUAACGCGAAGAACCUUACCCACCUUUGACAUGUACGGAAUCCUUUAGAGAUAGAGGAGUGCUCGAAAGAGAGCCGUAACACAGGUGCUGCAUGGCUGUCGUCAGCUCGUGUCGUGAGAUGUUGGGUUAAGUCCCGCAACGAGCGCAACCCUUGCCAUUAGUUGCUACAUUUAGUUGAGCACUCUAAUGGGACUGCCGGUGACAAACCGGAGGAAGGUGGGGAUGACGUCAAGUCCUCAUGGCCCUUAUAGGUGGGGCUACACACGUCAUACAAUGGGAGUGACAGUGAGCAGCGAGGUCGCGAGGCCAAGCUAAUCUCCAAAAGCUCUCUCAGUUCAGAUUGUAGUCUGCAACUCGACUACAUGAAGUUGGAAUCGCUAGUAAUCGCAAAUCAGCAUGUUGCGGUGAAUACGUUCCCGGGUCUUGUACACACCG